GAGACAGAAAAAUUAUUCGCUAGGAAAUAUCAUCAGCCACAGUUUUCCAUGGGGACAAACAGAACAAUUAGUCCACUGCCCCUAUCUUUGGUCCCCUCGCUCCUUUAUUACAUAUCUCAUAUUUAUUUAUCUUCUGAUUAGAUUUAAGACUUAACAAUUCAAAUACCCUUAAGAUAACAGAAACUUCAAACAAAUCAAAUACCCUUAAGAUAACAAUGCAUGUAAUGAGAAAUGUGAGAGAUAAGUAGUUGAAAUGUAUGGCAUAUGGGCAGUGGAAGUAACUAUUUGGGGUUUUAUCUGACAAGGCCCCAAAAACCCAUGAUUAGAGAGAGACAGCAAUUUCAAACACCAGUUGAUGAAUUGCUCCAUCAACAUCUGACACUGAAAGCUGAGGAUUCUGAACAAUCAAACUUGUGUGGCUGAUGUGCAUUUUCUUCCUCUGCACCACGCCCCAUUGCCUUUGAUGUUAUAGUAGUACUGCGCCAACCCUUGACCAAAUUAAGAUAAUAAAAAGGACUUGUGAACUCCUUGUGGCCAAAUCCUCUUGUGGUCCAUCAACCCCAUCACUCCAUUUGCCGACUGCAGAUAAUGGCUGAGUUUGGUCAUUUAGUUAUGGUCAUUUAGACUUAUAAAUUGAAGUAAUUUAUGUGAUUCGAUGUGUGUGAAGGUGGGUAUGGAACUCUAGAAGAGCUUCUUGAAGUAAUAACCUGGGCUCAGCUUGGCAUCCAUGACAAACCGGUAAGGCUCAUUUGACAUGAAUAAUCAGCUGAUAAACAUGGUGUAUAAUAAUGAAGCUUUGAUCAUC
rnacentral:lncRNA from 1 species